GUAUAUUCGGUACAACUGAUUGGGUCGAAGAACUUGUUGGGAGUUCAGGUCUCGAUGGAGCUGAAUUUGCAGGAGAUGCAAGUUUUUCUGUUGAAGAUUGCGGUAGCCUAUAGGAAGGUACAGGUGCAUAUCUGGUAGAACUAUUUGAACUGAUACCAGCAUCAUAAGUUCUUUCCACUGGCUUAGCAUAUGGUGAUCCAGUUUCUUUUGCUGAAUUACUCAGCCGUGAACCGGUUAUGGGCCUGUUUAGCACAGGUGCAUCACAUGGUCUCUCCGUUGUUUCCCCUGAAGUGUUUCUAUGCUCCGAGCCAUUCUCAUUUCUGUCUCCAUCACCUUUCAGAAAACCAAAACGCCUCGCAGAAUCCAAGAAACUGAGACAUGCAGNNNAAUGUUAUACAAGUGGGAAAAAACUUAACUUGGUACCAAAAAUUCCUAACAAUAUAAAUUUGCUGUAUUAUAUUUCUAUCCAUAAGUUGACCAGUUCCAUAAAUCUCAGUUUGCAUGAAAAGCACUGAUCACCUUUUCUGAAACCCCAGACAAAUGAAAGUUCUAACAUUAAACUAGCCCAGUUCACUUGCUGUAAAGAACAUCAUGAAAUUUGAGACAUGCAAACAAGAAAUAGAAAAGAAAAGAAAAUUAAGAAAAAUGAAUAAAUAAAAAAAGAGUAACAAAGCAGAUUGAUCAAUGAUCAUGACAUGCAGAACAAGUAUCUGACAUAUAAGAUCAAAUAUAUAAGAUCAAAGAAGAAGAAAGUAGAUACCUAAGAUUUUCCCAAACUGUACUGUAAGAAAUGUCUUAGUGUGCAGUUGUAGGGACUGAGAUGAAAACGCUAAAGAAAGAGUAAAGCUACUGCCCAGGAUGCAAACAAUGUCUUAAUCUCUGUUCUAGGGAGCUUCAACUGCCGUUGCAGAAUACUUCUACAUUACCACAUCAGCACACUGGACCCCAUUUA
rnacentral:lncRNA from 1 species